AAUAUAAGUGGAUGGCGACCGGCGCACGGGUGAGUAACACGUAUCCAACCUGCCGAUAACUCGGGGAUAGCCUUUCGAAAGAAAGAUUAAUACCCGAUGGUAUAAUAAAACCGCAUGGUUUAAUUAUUAAAGAAUUUCGGUUAUCGAUGGGGAUGCGUUCCAUUAGGCAGUUGGUGAGGUAACGGCUCACCAAACCUUCGAUGGAUAGGGGUUCUGAGAGGAAGGUCCCCCACAUUGGAACUGAGACACGGUCCAA
rnacentral:rRNA from 1 species